CCUACGGGUGGCUGCAGUGAGGAAUAUUGGUCAAUGGGCGGAAGCCUGAACCAGCCAAGUCGCGUGAGGGAAUAAGGCCCUACGGGUCGUAAACCUCUUUUGCCGGGGAGCAAGGGCCGGGACGAGUCCCGGUCCGGAGAAUACACGGAGAACAAGCAUCGGCUAACUCCGUGCCAGCAGCCGAGGUAAUACGGAGGAUGCGAGCGUUAUCCGGAUUUAUUGGGUUUAAAGGGUGCGUAGGCGGGCUUUUAAGUCAGCGGUAAAAAUUCGGGGCUCAACCCCGUCCGGCCGUUGAGACUGGGGGCCUUGAGUGGGCGAGAAGAAGGCGGAAUGCGUGGUGUAGCGGUGAAAUGCAUAGAUAUCACGCAGAACCCAGAUUGCGAAGGCAGCCUUCCGGCGCCCUACUGACGCUGAGGCACGAAAGUGCGGGGAUCGAACAGGAUUAGAGACCCUUGUAGUC
rnacentral:rRNA from 1 species